rnacentral:rRNA from 1 species
UACGAAGGGGGCUAGCGUUGCUCGGAAUCACUGGGCGUAAAGGGUGCGUAGGCGGGUCUUUAAGUCAGGGGGGAAAUCCUGGAGCUCAACUCCAGAACUGCCUUUGAUACUGAAGAUCUUGAGUUCGGGAGAGGUGAGUGGAACUGCGAGUGUAGAGGUGAAAUUCGUAGAUAUUCGGAAGAACACCAGUGGCGAAGGCGACUUACUGGACACAUAUUGACGCUGAGGAGCGAAAGCGUGGGGAGCGAACAGG